AUGAUAGCCCUACGGGCACCCAUCUCGCUCCUUCACCUCGCUGCCGCCGCCGGCCAGAGGAACCGAUGCACCGGAGGCCACAGGAGGCGCGGCUACGCGCAGCGCCGCCACUUGAGCGGGGCACCCGAGAGCCUCUGGGGGCGCAGCCCCCGCCCUCCCCGCCCUCCCACGCCCGCCGCCGCUGCCCGCAGCGAGUCCAACACCUCGUCGCUGCCGCCGCCCCUUGAGAACGCUGCCUUCGAGGAGUACUACAAGGAGCAGCGAAUCGUGCACGAAGAGGAGUGGGACGACUUCAUGAGUGUGCUCCGGAAGCCAUUGCCAGCCACUUUUAGGGUCAAUGCUAGCUGCCGGUUUUUGAAAGACAUUUGCUCCAGAUUAGAAAAUGACUUCAGGAGAGCUUUGGAGAAUGAGGUUAGUGAUGAAUGUGGAGAAUAUGCUCUCAGUCCCCUGCCUUGGUAUCCAGGCAAUCUUGCAUGGCAUUUGAACUUAUCUCGGAAGCAACUGAGGAAAAAUCCUGCACUUGAGAGUUUUCAUGAGUUUCUAAAGCACGAGAGUGAGGUUGGUAACAUAACCAGGCAAGAGGCUGUUAGUAUGGUGCCACCACUAUUUCUGAAUGUACAAGCUGGCCACCAUAUUCUUGACAUGUGUGCUGCUCCAGGAUCUAAAACGUUCCAGCUACUUGAGAUGAUUCAUCAAUCAAAAGAGCCAGGGCUACUUCCAACAGCGCUGGUCAUAGCUAACGAUUUAAAAGUACAAAGAUGCGACGUCCUCAUCCAUAAUACAAAGAGAAUGUGCACUGCCAACCUGAUAGUGACAAACCAUGAAGCGCAAAGUUUUCCCAGUUGUUCUCUUGCGAAGGAUGAUUCGCAAGCUUACAAAGAUCACUGCAAACCACAAAGGCUAGAAUUCGACCGUGUACUAUGUGAUGUCCCCUGUAGUGGUGAUGGAACACUCCGGAAGUCUCAUGACCUUUGGAGAAAGUGGAGCUCAAGCAUGGGGAAUGAAUUUCAUCUUCUCCAAGUAAACAUUGCUAUGCGUGGUAUUGCCUUACUUAAAGUGGGUGGUAGGAUGGUUUACUCAACUUGCUCAAUGAAUCCUGUUGAAAAUGAAGCUGUUGUAGCUGAGCUUCUCCGGAGAAGUGGAAGCUCUGUUGAACUACUUGAUGUUUCUAGUGAGCUACAAGAAUUGGUCCGCCGACCCGGACUUAGCACUUGGAAGGUGAACGAUAAAGGAUCUUGGUUUCAGACUCAUCAAGAUGUUCCUGACAGUAGGAAGAAUGUAAUAUUGCCUAGCAUGUUUCCUUCAAGUACAAGCAUCCAUGAAAGCCAUACAGUGUAUAACAGCUUUGACGUUAAUUCAGAGUACAAUGUGCCCUUGUCAAGAAAUUUCAACAUUGAAGAUACAAACAAUGUUAAUUGUGAUACAGGUGGCAUUUCAAGUAGUAAUUCCGCUCAAAGCUUGGGUUCAAAAUUUCCUCUGUACCGUUGCAUGAGAAUUGUUCCUCAUGACCAAGAUGGUGGGGCAUUUUUCAUUGCAGUUAUUCGUAAACUGUCCCCGUUGAAUGAAAACCAGGUGAUCAAGGUGAGAAAAACUGAGAACCUGCUCUCGGGAAACAGGGCAGUGAAACUUCAGGAGCAAUGUCAGCAUAGAAUUGUUUCUGAGGUUCUUGAUGAUAACAAAUUGCUUGAUGAACAGGCAAAAUUAAGCGUGGCCAACCAAACUUCAAAGGAUGACAACUUAAUUGAAGUUAAGAUGGCAUCUGAUGAUGUAGAAUAUAGUCAGACAGAAUCAGGUGAUAGAAGUCAUAGAACGAAUAAGUUGGAUUACCGACACAAGUGGAAAGGAAUUGAUCCCGUCCUAUUUUUCAAAGAUGAGGAUGUGAUAAAAAAUAUAGUAUCGUUCUUUGGUAUCGAGGAAUCGUUUUCACUCGAAGGCCGUCUGGUGACAAGAAGUACUGAUAAUGCAAGGAGAAUAUACUAUGUAUCGAAAGCAGUACAAGACGUUUUAGAACUGAAUGUACAAGUUGGUGAGCAGAUUAAAAUUGCUUCUCUUGGCGUAAAGAUGUUUGAAAGGCAUAGAUCAAAGGAUGGCUGUUCAUGUGCAUACAGGCUAUCUUAUGAGGGGCUGUCAUUGCUCUUUCCAUACAUGAGGAAGCGGAUACUAUACGCAUCUCCAGUUGACUUCCAGCAUCUUGUACAAUACCGAACCAUUAACUUUGCUCGUUUUGCCGACGCUAGAUUCGGGGAGGAGGCUGCAUCUUUGAUGCCUGGUUGCUGCGUUGUAGUGCUGCGUGAAGCACAUCAAAUUGCCGAUUCCAUAGCCAAGGACCCCUCCCCAAUCGCCAUUGUUUGCUGGAGAGGAAAGGCGACUAUGAAUGUUUUGGUUUCUCCGCCCGAUCGGAAGGAACUGCUAGAAUAUCGCUUUGGGUUCAAAGCAUUCAAAGUCGAAGAUGAGAAAUCCAACAAAGACAUCGAUGCAUUAGCUGAAGGGAGCCUAUAA
rnacentral:rRNA from 1 species